AGUCGAGCGCGAUUAGUUGGAACGGAGACUUCGGUUGAAGGGAAGACUAUGAAAGCGGCGGACGGGUGAGUAACGCGUGAGCAACCUGCCCUGUACAGGGGGAUAGCCACUGGAAACGGUGAUUAAUACCCCAUAACCCCAAUAGGUCACAUGGCCUGCUGGGCAAAGCCUUGGCGGUACAGGAUGGGCUCGCGUCUGAUUAGCUAGUUGGUGAGGUAAAGGCUCACCAAGGCGACGAUCAGUAGCCGACCUGAGAGGGUGAACGGCCACACUGGAACUGAGACACGGUCCAGACUCCUACGGGAGGCAGCAGUGGGGAAUAUUGCACAAUGGGCGCAAGCCUGAUGCAGCAACGCCGCGUGAGUGAUGAAGGCCUUCGGGUCGUAAAACUCUGUCCUAAGGGAAGAAGAAGUGACGGUACCUUAGGAGGAAGCCCCGGCUAACUACGUGCCA
rnacentral:rRNA from 1 species